rnacentral:rRNA from 1 species
UACGGAGGGUGCAAGCGUUAUCCGGAUUCACUGGGUUUAAAGGGUGCGUAGGUGGGUUUGUAAGUCAGGGGUGAAAUCUCCAAGCUUAACUUGGAAACUGCCGUUGAUACUAUAAAUCUUGAAUGUUGUGGAGGUGAGCGGAAUAUGUCAUGUAGCGGUGAAAUGCUUAGAUAUGACAUAGAACACCAAUUGCGAAGGCAGCUCACUACACAAAGAUUGACACUGAGGCACGAAAGCGUGGGGAUCAAACCGG